AUUGAACGCUGGCGGCAGGCUUAACACAUGCAAGUCGAGCGGGGGAAGGUAGCUUGCUACCGGACCUAGCGGCGGACGGGUGAGUAAUGCUUAGGAAUCUGCCUAUUAGUGGGGGACAACAUCUCGAAAGGGAUGCUAAUACCGCAUACGUCCUACGGGAGAAAGCAGGGGAUCUUCGGACCUUGCGCUAAUAGAUGAGCCUAAGUCGGAUUAGCUAGUUAGUGGGGUAAAGGCCUACCAAGGCGACGAUCUGUAGCGGGUCUGAGAGGAUGAUCCGCCACACUGGGACUGAGACACGUCCCAGACUCCUUCGGGAGUCAGCAGUGGGGAAUAUUUGACAAUGGGGGGAACCCUGAUCCAGCCAUGCCGCGUGUGUGAAGAAGGCCUUAUGGUUGUAAAGCACUUUAAGCGAGGAGGAGGCUGCUCUAGUUAAUACCUAGGGAUAGUGGACGUUACUCGCAGAAUAAGCACCGGCUAACUCUGUGCCAGCAGCCGCAGUAA
rnacentral:rRNA from 1 species